rnacentral:tRNA from 1 species
GGCCCUGUCGUCUAGAGGCCUAGGACACUUGGUUCUCAUCCAAGAAACACGGGUUCAAAUCCCGUCGGGGCUA